rnacentral:misc_RNA from 1 species
AAGUCGUAACAAGGUUUCCGUAGGUGAACCUGCGGAAGGAUCAUUAAUGAUUGGUGGCUGUUGCUGACUAGUGUUUAGACGAGAACAGGAGUUGACCGGGAUUGUGGUUAUUCACACCGGAUAAUUUAGAAAACUUUCGGCAAUGGAUCUCUUGGCUAUCC